rnacentral:lncRNA from 1 species
GUUUAGUUAAAUGUAACCACAGAAGAAUGUAAUGUAAACAGAAAAGUUUUUGCUAAGAUUUAUAAGGUGGUUUAUCUUUUGUAUUGAUAAUCAUAUAAAAUAAGAGACGAGGUAUAAUGGACGAAAAUCUAUUCUAAUCUCUAGACGAUUUUGAAGAACGUGUUUGAUUCUUGAAGAUCUGAAAAUAUUUACAUUAGUUGAGAAUUCAUAAUGGGACUUGAAAAACAUUAAUAUUUAUAGACACAGAAGAGUAGGUCGCAAAAUACAUACAGUUUAAGCAGUCCUGACAUAAAAACAAUCUGGUUUAUCAUUAGUGCCGUUGGUCAAUGACAAAAUGUACAUAAAAUGAUAUUGUUUGAAAUUGAGGAAUCUAAAGCUGUUAGUACCGAAUACUACUGUAUCAAUUAAGAGAUAUAUGUUGCCAUUGAUAUUGGUAUCAUAGAUUGAGUAUAUAAUGUACCUGGUGCAAAGCUUCCUGUUUGUAAUAGAAAAGUCAAUCCUGAUAUGGUUGUAAGUAUAAGUCCUAAAUACUAAAGUUAGCAUAGUUGUCACUCUAGCACUAUAUUUUGAGAAAGUUGAUGAUCUUAAGCAAUUGAACAAGCUAUAGUAAGAACGCAACACUAUUUCUUAACUCCAAGAUAAAGUUCCAAAGCUAAAGCAGUAGUCAGUGGUGAUAGUAAAUUGGAUAAUAGAACACAAUUAUUAAAAGGGUAUCAAUUAGGUGGUCAGUUUGAAUAACUGAUUGUCCAUGAGCAUCUGGUACUCAACAGUGUUGCACAAUGAUGAUACUCAGACAUACGAAACAUGGAAAUUUAUUUUUAGAAUAUAUAUGUUAACUAAC